rnacentral:rRNA from 1 species
ACUGGAGUUUGAUCCUGGCUCAGAACGAACGCUGGCGGCAUGCUUAACACAUGCAAGUCGAACGGGGACUUCGGUCCUAGUGGCGAACGGUCGCGUAACACGUAAGCAACCUGCCCUGAAGUGGGGGACAACAUCCCGAAAGGGGUGCUAAUACCGCAUGUGGUCACGAGUCGGCAUCGACUUGUGUCUAAAGAUUUAUCGCUUCAGGAUGGGCUUGCGGCCUAUCAGGUAGUUGGUGGGGUAAUGGCCUACCAAGCCGAUGAC